rnacentral:rRNA from 1 species
CCUACGGGGGGCAGCAGUGAGGAAUAUUGGUCAAUGGGAGAGAGCCUGAACCAGCAACGCCGCGUGAAGGAAGAAGGCUUUCGGGUUGUAAACUUCUUUUGUCAGGGACGAAGCAAGUGACGGUACCUGACGAAUAAGACACGGCUAACUACGUGCCAGCAGCAGCGGUAAUACGUAGGAGGCAAGCGUUAUCCGGAUUUACUGGGUGUAAAGGGCGUGUAGGCGGUACUGCAAGUCAGAUGUGAAAACCACGGGCUCAACCUGUGCCUUGCAUUUGAUACUGUAGUGCUAGAGUACUGGAGAGGCAGACGGAAUGCCUGGUGUAGCGGUGAAAUGCGUAGAGAUUAGGAGGAACACCAGUGGCGAAGGCGGUCUGCUGGACAGCAACUGACGCUGAGGCGCGAAAGCGUGGGGAGCAAACAGGAUUAGAGACCCGAGUAGUC